GGGGUGCCUUCGGGAGCCAGAUGACAGGUGUUGCACGGUCGUCGUCAGCUCGUGCUAUGAAGUGUCCCGUUAAGUCGGUUUAACGAGCGCAACCCCUGCUGUUUGUUGAAUUUUUCAAACAGGACUGCCGGCGUUAAGUCGGAGGAAGUGGGGAUGACGUCAGAUCAGCGUGGCUCUUACGUCCUGGGCGACACUCGUGUUACAAUGGGUAGUCACAAAGGGUUGCAAUACCGUAAGGUGGAGCUAAUCCCAUAAAACUACCCCCAGUUCGGAUUGAGGGCUGCAACUCGCCCUCAUGAAGCCGGAAUCGCUAGUAAUCGUAGGUCAGCCAUACUACGGUGAAUACGUUCUCGGGUCUU
rnacentral:rRNA from 1 species